GUGUUGGUAUAGUAGUAGAGUUAACAGUAGACAGUAGUAGGUUGAUAGUGGUGGUAUAGUAGUAGAGUUAACAGUAGACAGUAGUAGGUUGAUAGUGGUGGUAUAGUAGUAGAGUUAACAGUAGUAGGUUGAUAGUGGUGGUAUAGUAGUAGAGUUAACAGUAGACAGUAGUAGGUUGAUAGUGGUGGUAUAGUAGUAGAGUUAACAGUAGUAGGUUGAUAGUGGUGGUAUAGUAGUAGAGUUAACAGUAGACAGUAGUAGGUUGAUAGUGGUGGUAUAGUAGUAGAGUUAACAGUAGUAGGUUGAUAGUGGUGGUAUAGUAGUAGAGUUAACAGUAGACAGUAGUAGGUUGAUAGUGGUGGUAUAGUAGUAGAGUUAACAGUAGACAGUAGUAUGUUGAUAGUGUUGGUAUAGUAGUAGAGUUAACAGUAGUAGGUUGAUAGUGGUGGUAUAGUAGUAGAGUUAACAGUAGUAGGUUGAUAGUGGUGGUAUAGUAGUAGAGUUAACAGUAGACAGUAGUAGGUUGAUAGUGUUGGUAUAGUAGUAGAGUUAACAGUAGUAGGUUGAUAGUGGUGGUAUAGUAGUAGAGUUAACAGUAGACAGUAGUAUGUUGAUAGUGUUGGUAUAGUAGUAGAGUUAACAGUAGUAGGUUGAUAGUGGUGGUAUAGUAGUAGAGUUAACAGUAGUAGGUUGAUAGUGGUGGUAUAGUAGUAGAGUUAACAGUAGACAGUAGUAGGUUGAUAGUGUUGGUAUAGUAGUAGAGUUAACAGUAGUAGGUUGAUAGUGUUGGUAUAGUAGUAGAGUUAACAGUAGUAGGUUGAUAGUGUUGGUAUAGUAGUAGAGUUAACAGUAGACAGUAGUAGGUUGAUAGUGGUGGUAUAGUAGUAGAGUUAACAGUAGACAGUAGUAGGUUGAUAGUGGUGGUAUAGUAGUAGAGUUAACAGUAGACAGUAGUAGGUUGAUAGUGGUGGUAUAGUAGUAGAGUUAACAGUAGUAGGUUGAUAGUGUUGGUAUAGUAGUAGAGUUAACAGUAGACAGUAGUAGGUUGAUAGUGGUGGUAUAGUAGUAGAGUUAACAGUAGUAGGUUGAUAGUGGUGGUAUAGUAGUAGAGUUAACAGUAGACAGUAGUAGGUUGAUAGUGGUGGUAUAGUAGUAGAGUUAACAGUAGACAGUAGUAGGUUGAUAGUGGUGGUAUAGUAGUAGAGUUAACAGUAGACAGUAGUAGGUUGAUAGUGGUGGUAUAGUAGUAGAGUUAACAGUAGACAGUAGUAGGUUGAUAGUGGUGGUAUAGUAGUAGAGUUAACAGUAGACAGUAGUAGGUUGAUAGUGGUGGUAUAGUAGUAGAGUUAACAGUAGACAAUAGUAGAGUUAACAGUAGACAGUAGUAUGUUGAUAGUGGUGGUAUAGUAGUAGAGUU